rnacentral:rRNA from 1 species
UACGAAGGGGGCUAGCGUUGUUCGGAAUUACUGGGCGUAAAGCGCGCGUAGGCGGAACGUUAAGUCAGGGGUGAAAGCCCGAGGCUCAACCUCGGAAUGGCCCUUGAUACUGGCGCUCUCGAGACCGGGAGAGGUGAGUGGAACACCCAGUGUAGAGGUGAAAUUCGUAGAUAUUGGGUAGAACACCAGUGGCGAAGGCGGCUCACUGGCCCGGUUCUGACGCUGAGGCGCGAAAGCGUGGGGAGCAAACAGG